UAGCGGAGCGUGUGGUUUAAUUCGAUACUACACGAAGAACCUUACCAGGGUUUGACAUGUAGGUGGUAGUGAAGCGAAAGCGGAACGACUCUUCGGAGAGCCUGCACAGGUGCUGCAUGGCUGUCGUCAGCUCGUGUCGUGAGAUGUUCGGUUAAGUCCGCUAACGAGCGCAACCCCUGCUGUGUGUUACAAGUGUCACACGGGACUGCCGGUCUUAAGCCGGAGGAAGGUGGGGAUGACGUCAAGUCAGCAUGGCCUUUAUAUCCUGGGCUACACACACGCUACAAUGGGUGGUACAACAGGUUGCGAAACCGCGAGGUGGAGCCAAUCCUUAAAGCCAUCCUCAGUUCAGAUUGUAGGCUGCAACUCGCCUGCAUGAAGAUGGAGUUGCUAGUAACCGCAUA
rnacentral:rRNA from 1 species